rnacentral:snRNA from 1 species
GUAUUCCGUGCAGAGGAACACAUUGAUGAGUAUGUAACUAUUUUCUCUGGCUUGUCUUAAUUGACAAGCCAUGAUCAUUACUCUGGGUUUCUCUGCAAUACGCAUAAAUCUUUCGCCUUUUACUAAA